rnacentral:rRNA from 1 species
UGGAAUUGCUAGUAAUGGCAGGUCAGCAUACUGCCGUGAAUACGUUCCCGGGCCUUGUACACACCGCCCGUCACACCAUGAGAGUUGGGAAUACCCGAAGCCUGUGAGCUAACUGUAAGGAGGCAGCAGUCGAAGGUAGAAUCAAUGAUUGGGGUGAAGUCGUAACAAGGUACC